CAGCAGGGACACCCAAAGAGGGGCUUGUCUGGCCAACUCAUUCUCAUAUGCUAUUUUUCUGUUUCAUGAAGGAAGGUUGAUGAUGCAGGACACUCAGCAAUUUUGCUCGAUUAGGAACCUUUUGGGCUGAGAGGAGCCAAGGAACAAGAGCGAUUAUGCCUCCAGCUGCUUCUUUCCUUCUCCAUUCAAGCCAGGAGGUGUAGACCAAGUGUUAGGGUUGUAGGUCAGUGACGAAGCACCUGGGGCUUGCCUGGGAAGGGGGGCAUCGGCCACAGCAUGAACAGAGCAGGGAUGGGGACAUAACACCGAUGGCACCCCAUCGAACACAUGAGUAGCUUUGUCUGGCACAAAGGACAAAUGUAUCACACUGCCAGGGAGGGGGCUGGCGUUAGGUAUCAAGUAGGGCUAUGAGAACUUGUGUCUUGCUUGGCAAGUUUUCUCUGGGGAGCUAGGAUGUUGGGUGCUAGGAGGAGGAAAAGGAUAAGGAGGGAGGGGUGACUAUGAUUCUGCACCCCCUGGACUUAGAUCCAGGGGCCUUCAAUUUGCAAUUUCGGGUGGUGGCGGGAGCCCAUUUGGAGCCUCUGACCUCCGACAACAGAAAACUCCUGGAAACGGCUGGGAGCGGAAUGUCUGGCUGGAAAGCUUGGGCCUUCACAACCUGCUCCAGCAAGUCGCUGGCCCUCAACUCAGCCUGGUUCCCUGCAGCUCUUCAAGAGUCCCAGGUUGCAGCUGCUGAGGCAGAGAACAGACCCGUUUUCCUCAGAAAACCCUGCUGGUCCUGACCCACCAGAGAGCAAAGUUAAGCUUCUCCUCUACAACAGCCCCUACUGAGUAUUUCAUCCAGAGCUCUCCUGCCUGCCACUGAACUGCGCUUCUUGAGGGUAC
rnacentral:lncRNA from 1 species